UGGGGAAUAUUGCACAAUGGGGGAAACCCUGAUGCAGCGACGCCGCGUGAGCGAAGAAGGCCUUCGGGUCGUAAAGCUCUUUUAUGAGGGAAGAUAAUGACGGUACCUCAAGAAAAAGCCCCGGCUAACUACGUGCCAGCAGCCGCGGUAAUACGUAGGGCGCGAGCGUUGUCCGGAAUUAUUGGGCGUAAAGAGCUCGUAGGCGGUUUGUCGCGUCUGCUGUGAAAGACCGGGGCUUAACUCCGGGGCUGCAGUGGGUACGGGCAGGCUGGAGUGCGGUAGGGGUAACCGGAAUUCCUGGUGUAGCGGUGGAAUGCGCAGAUAUCAGGAGGAACACCGAUGGCGAAGGCAGGUUACUGGGCCGUUACUGACGCUGAGGAGCGAAAGCAUGGGGAGCGAACAGG
rnacentral:rRNA from 1 species